UACGGAGGGUGCAAGCAUUAAUCGGAUUUAUUGGGCGUAAAGGGCGCGUAGGUGGUAAAGAAAGUCAGAUGUGAAAUCCUGGGGCUCAACCUCAGAACAGCAUUUGAAACUUCUUUUCUAGAGGGUAGGCGGAGAAAACGGAAUUCCACAAGUAGCGGUGAAAUGCGUAGAUAUGUGGAAGAACACCGGUGGCGAAGGCGGUUUUCUAGCUUAUUCCUGACACUGAGGCGCGAAAGCAAGGGGAUCAAACAGG
rnacentral:rRNA from 1 species